UCAGUGCAAUAGGUAAUACAAUACUCUCAUUUUUUCUGCAGUUCUCAGAGAGUAAGUUAUUUGGGGUGGACAUGUUUUCCAUGCAGCUGAAGAGCAACAGAAUUUUAAAAAAAACAUAACGGAAAAAUUGUCAGCAUGCAGGAUACAGGUCCCUUUUAGAUUGUGCACAUCCCUGCUAAUUCUCUCUCUGACGUUUCUCACUACCUCUGACUUCAUCUCUCACUACUUCCUCCCAUGUGUCUUCCUGCACCUCUUUGUACACCACCUUCCAACAAGAUUGGACUCUCGUGCCAUCCCUGAAAACACUAGGACCAAUGAGAGGAAGCCAGAAAAAGUCACCUGGAUACCUGGAUGCCUGGCGCCUGGACAUGAGAAGCACCUUCUAAUGGCCGGGGAGUUCAAUGCUGGAAAGGGUGACACCAGCUGGGGGCGAGCUCUCCACUGUGAAGUCUCCUCAGCCAUGAAAAGGAGUGACAGCAGUCACUGCAUGGGGUUGCUGUGAGGACUAAGUGAGAAUGUGGAGCUGAAAGCCGCUGACAAACUGUGCAGUGCUCUUCAGAUGUCGGGGCCUUUGUUGCAGCCCUCACCUACUCUCCACCUUGCCUGUGCUUUGGAAACCUGCCCAGGCACCAGCUAUGUCGACUCCCGCUGCCAUUCAGGCCCAUAAGGAUGUCCUAGAAAAUACUUUUGCCACCUCUCUAUGUUAACAGCUCGAAAUCUCCAGACACUUCUGAUUACCAGGAUUUUGAGUACAUGACGGUUUUCUUCCUCAAAAUUCUUAAAUAGCAAAAAGGCUUGAAUGACAGUCAGGACUGGCAGAAGUUGGACUGUCAUUGUGAACCAAGGAAGGAGGCUGCAAAAGGAAAUGGGAAGAAAGUGGAUAUGCUGAUAGCCAGGCUGGUGCUCUUCCAGGUAAGUCUACCUGCCCUGGCCCCAAGCAGCCCUGUCCUGGGCUUGGCUGGUCCUGCAGUUUCCCAGGAUACAGCAGAGCUAGUGGAUGGCCUGGAAAGCAAGUAUUUGGGCAGAUCGUAUCUUCUGCCUGGAGAGAAUGUGAAUACUGUGGAAAGAGCCAGGCCAUGAGUUCUGCAGAGCCCAGCUCUAGUUCCUGUUAUGUCCCCUUACUAACAGGGUACAUUGAGUAAGUCUCCUAACCCAUUAGACCCUCAGUUAUUCAUUGCUGAAUAGAAAUCAUUUUGAUGAGAAUCAAAAUCAAAUAUGAUCAUUUAUGAAAAUUGUAUGCAUAGUGCCUGUGAUCAAUAAAUGGCAAUUGAAACUGA